rnacentral:rRNA from 1 species
UACAGAGGGGGCAAGCGUUGUUCGGAAUUACUGGGCGUAAAGGGCGCGUAGGCGGCCUGCUAAGUCGAACGUGAAAUCCCUGGGCUCAACCCAGGAACUGCGUCCGAUACUGGUUGGCUUGAAUCCGGGAGAGGGACGUGGAAUUCCAGGUGUAGCGGUGAAAUGCGUUGAUAUCGACAGGAACGCCGGUGGCGAAAGCGGACCGCUGGCCCUCUUCUGACGCUGAGGCGCGAAAGCCAGGGGAGCGAACGGG